GGCUCAGAUUGAACGCUGGCGGCGUGCUUAACACAUGCAAGUCGCGCGUGAAAGGACUUCGGUCCGAGUAAAGCGGCGCACGGGUGAGUAACGCGUGGAUGAUCUACCCAUGAGUUAGGAAUAACGGCUGGAAACGGUCGCUAAUACCAAAUACGCUCCGAUUUCAACUUCGGGGGAAAGGUGGCCUCUGCUUGCAAGCUACUGCUCAUGGAUGAGUCCGCGUCCCAUUAGCUAGUUGGUGGGGUAACGGCCCACCAAGGCGACGAUGGGUAGCCGGUCUGAGAGGAUGACCGGCCACACUGGGACUGGAACACGGCCCAGACUCCUACGGGAGGCAGCAGUGGGGAAUAUUGCGCAAUGGGCGAAAGCCUGACACAGCGACGCCGCGUGAGGGAUGAAAGGUCCUCGGAUCGUAAACCUCUGUCAGGAGGGAAGAACCGCCACGGUGCUAAUCAGCCGUGGUCUGACGGUACCUCCAAAGGAAGCACCGGCUAACUCCGUGCCAGCAGCAGC
rnacentral:rRNA from 1 species